rnacentral:rRNA from 1 species
GACGAACGCUGGCGGCGUGCCUAAUACAUGCAAGUAGAACGCUGAAGCGAGGAGCUUGCUCUUCUUGGAUGAGUUGCGAACGGGUGAGUAACGCGUAGGUAACCUGCCUUGUAGCGGGGGAUAACUAUUGGAAACGAUAGCUAAUACCGCAUAACAAUAGGUGACACAUGUCAUUUAUUUGAAAGGGGCAAUUGCUCCACUACAAGAUGGACCUGCGUUGUAUUAGCUAGUAGGUGAGGUAACGGCUCACCUAGGCGACGAUACAUAGCCGACCUGAGAGGGUGAUCGGCCACACUGGGACUGAGACACGGCCCAGACUCCUACGGGAGGCAGCAGUAGGGAAUCUUCGGCAAUGGGGGCAACCCUGACCGAGCAACGCCGCGUGAGUGAAGAAGGUUUUCGGAUCGUAAAGCUCUGUUGUAAGUCAAGAACGAGUGUGAGAGUGGAAAGUUCACACUGUGACGGUAGCGUACCAGAAAGGGACGGCUAACUACGU